rnacentral:rRNA from 1 species
AACGAACGCUGGCGGCAUGCCUAACACAUGCAAGUCGAACGAGACCUUCGGGUCUAGUGGCGCACGGGUGCGUAACGCGUGGGAACCUGCCCUUAGGUUCGGAAGAACUCCCCGAAAGGGGUGCUAAUACCGGAUAAUGUCGUCGGACCAAAGAUUUAUCGCCUUUGGAUGGGCCCGCGUUGGAUUAGCUAGUUGGUAGGGUAAAAGCCUACCAAGGCGACGAUCCAUAGCUGGUCUGAGAGGAUGAUCAGCCACACUGGGACUGAGACACGGCCCAGACUCCUACGGGAGGCAGCAGUGGGGAAUAUUGGACAAUGGGCGAAAGCCUGAUCCAGCAAUGCCGCGUGAGUGAUGAAGGCCUUAGGGUUGUAAAGCUCUUUUACCCGGGAUGAUAAUGACAGUACCGGGAGAAUAAGCUCCGGCUAACUCCGUG